rnacentral:rRNA from 1 species
GGGGGAUAACGUAGCGAAAGUUACGCUAAUACCGCAUACGUACUGAGGUAGAAAGCGGGGGAUCGAAAGACCUCGCGCUCAUGGAGCGGCCGAUGUCGGAUUAGCUAGUUGGCGGGGUAAGAGCCCACCAAGGCGACGAUCCGUAGCUGGUCUGAGAGGACGACCAGCCACACUGGGACUGAGACACGGCCCAGACUCCUACGGGAGGCAGCAGUGGG